rnacentral:rRNA from 1 species
AUUGAACGCUGGCGGCAUGCUUUACACAUGCAAGUCGAACGGUAACAGGCCUUCGGGUGCUGACGAGUGGCGAACGGGUGAGUAAUGCAUCGGAACGUGCCCAGAGGUGGGGGAUAACGCAGCGAAAGCUGUGCUAAUACCGCAUGUGAUCUGAGGAUGAAAGCGGGGGACCAGGCAGCAAUGUUUGGCCUCGCGCCUUUGGAGCGGCCGAUGUCAGAUUAGGUAGUUGGUGGGGUAAAGGCCUACCAAGCCGACGAUCUGUAGCUGGUCUGAGAGGACGACCAGCCACACUGGGACUGAGACACGGCCCAGACUCCUACGGGAGGCAGCAGUGGGGAAUUUUGGACAAUAGGCGCAAGCCUGAUCCAGCAAUGCCGCGUGCGGGAAGAAGGCCUUCGGGUUGUAAACCGCUUUUGUACGGAACGAAAAGGCUCUGGCUAAUACCUGGGGCUGAUGACGGUACCGUAAGAAUAAGCACCGGCUAACUACGUG